rnacentral:rRNA from 1 species
CUAAGAAUAUUCCGCAAUGGACGAAAGUCUGACGGAGCGACGCCGCGUGGAUGAAGAAGGCCGCAAGGUUGUAAAAUCCUUUUGCUGGGGAAGAAUAAGCGCAGGAGGGAAUGCCUGCGUGAUGGCAUGAACCGGCGAAUAAGCCCCGGCCAACUACGUGCCAGCAGCCGCGGUAACACGUAGGGGGCAAGCGUUGUUCGGAAUUACUGGGCGUAAAGGGCAUGUAGGCGGCUUGGUAAGCCUGGCGUGAAAGUCUGCAGCUUAACUGUAGGGAUGCGUUGGGAACUGCUUAGCUUGAGUUACGGAGAGGGAGCUGGAAUUCCUGGUGUAGGGGUGAAAUCUGUAGAGAUCAGGAAGAAUACCGAUGGCGAAGGCAAGCUCCUGGCCGAUGACUGACGCUGAGGUGCGAAAGUGUGGGGAUCAAACA